rnacentral:rRNA from 1 species
UACGAAGGGAGCUAGCGUUGUUCGGAAUCACUGGGCGUAAAGCGCGCGUAGGCGGCUUCUCAAGUCAGGGGUGAAAUCCCACAGCUCAACUGUGGAGUUGCCUUUGAAACUGUGAAGCUAGAGUGUCGGAGGGGAUAGCGGAAUUGCUAAUGUAGAGGUGAAAUUCGUAGAUAUUAGCAGGAACACCGGUGGCGAAGGCGGCUAUCUGGACGACAACUGACGCUGAGGCGCGAAAGCGUGGGGAUCAAACAGG